CCCAUCCAAUUCCUCUUUCUUUGCUGCUACCAAACAGAUAAGUACAUGACUAAUUCACUCUAUCAUAGCCUUAUGGUUUUUUGUCUACUGUUUUUCUGCACUGUUGACCUUUUCACUGCUGAUAACUUUUACCAUUCACUGGUUUAUUAUUGCUGGUAAUUUGUAUAUAUUUUGACUUUAUGUGUAUAUUUUGUUUGACCCCAGGGUUCCAGACCCCUCUGUCUGGCUUAAUUCUACUCUACCUUUACUGGUACCUCCUUGUUAAGCUCUAGGGCUUCCUUUUCUCCCUCCAUUACAC